UGAGGCGCAGGUUUCACAAGAUUGAAGGUAGGAGAGGUUGGCACCAUAGAGGCAGAGAAUGGCUGUUGUUGUGCAAACUUCUGAAAGCUUAUCCAAUGACCAGAAUCAACAGUGGAAGAGUCAGACUCAUCACAUUCAGGUAUAGUAGCCGGGGUAUGAAACUGGUGGCGAUGUGUCGGACUAGCAGGUGCAGAAACCGCAUAGAAAGGAUAAUUAAAAG